UACGUAGGUCCCGAGCGUUGUCCAGAUUUAUUGGGCGUAAGGCGAGCGCAGGUGGUUUAUUAAGUCUGGUGUAAAAGGCAGUGGCUCAACCAUUGUAUGCAUUGGAAACUGGUAGACUUGAGUGCAGGAGAGGAGAGUGGAAUUCCAUGUGUAGCGGUGAAAUGCGUAGAUAUAUGGAGGAACACCGGUGGCGAAAGCGGCUCUCUGGCCUGUAACUGACACUGAGGCUCGAAAGCGUGGGGAGCAAACAGG
rnacentral:rRNA from 1 species